rnacentral:rRNA from 1 species
CAGCACCUCAAGUGGUCAGGAUGAUUAUUGGGCCUAAAGCAUCCGUAGCCGGCUCUGUAAGUUUUCGGUUAAAUCUGUAUGCUCAACAUACAGGCUGCCGGGAAUACUGCAGAGCUAGGGAAUGGGAGAGGUAGACGGUACUCGGUAGGAAGGGGUAAAAUCCUUUGAUCUAUUGAUGACCACCUGUGGCGAAGGCGGUCUACCAGAACACGUCCGACGGUGAGGGAUGAAAGCUGGGGGAGCAAACCGGAUUAGAUACCCGAGUAGUCC